AUAGUACCGAUCGUUGAAACGAUCCCGGUCUGGAUCGACCAUCGCGUCAUGGUGACAUCCUUCAGUGCCGAGAAAACGCUCACAAAGGACACCGUCCCUGUUGACGUGGACGCGGUCUUAUUUUGGUUGGU
rnacentral:rRNA from 1 species